rnacentral:rRNA from 1 species
UACGAAGGGGGCUAGCGUUGCUCGGAAUCACUGGGCGUAAAGGGUGCGUAGGCGGCUUUCUAAGUCAGGGGUGAAAUCCUGGAGCUCAACUCCAGAACUGCCUUUGAUACUGGGAAGCUCGAGUCCGGAAGAGGUGAGUGGAACUCCGAGUGUAGAGGUGAAAUUCGUAGAUAUUCGGAAGAACACCAGUGGCGAAGGCGGCUCACUGGUCCGGUACUGACGCUGAGGUGCGAAAGCGUGGGGAGCAAACAGG